rnacentral:rRNA from 1 species
GACGAACGCUGGCGGCGUGCUUAACACAUGCAAGUCGAGCGGAAAGGCGCUGCUUUUGCGGGGUGCUCGAUAGGCGAACGGGUGAGUAACACAUGUGUAUCCUGCCCUUGUAUUUGGGGUAAAUUCAGGAAACAGGGGCUAUUACCGGGGAGGAGCUACUGCUGCACAGUGGUGGUUGGAAAGUGUCGGCGGUUGGGGCUGGACUCGCGGCUUAUCAGCUGCUUGGUGGGGUAGGGGAGUCCGAGGGCUAUGACGGGUAGCCGGCCUGAGAGAGGGACCGGCCACAUUAGGACUGAGAUACGGACCAGAAUCGUACGGGAGGCAGCAGGGGGGAAUAUUGCAGAAUGGCGGGAAGCCUGAUGCAGAAACGCCGCGUGCGGGAUGCUGGCCUUCGGGUUGUAAACCGCUUUGGAAUGUGACGAAGCGGGAGUGACGGUAACGGGUAAAGAAGCACCGGCUAACUACGUG